UCCUCGAUGGCUCAGUUGGUUAGAGCGUCUGCCAUCUAAGCAGGAGGUCCCGGGUUCGAAUCCCGCUCGGGGCA